UGGCUCAUUAAAUCAGUUAUCGUUUAUUUGAUAGUACCUUACUACUUGGAUAACCGUGGUAAUUCUAGAGCUAAUACAUGCUGAAAACCCCAACUUCGGAAGGGGUGUAUUUAUUAGAUAAAAAACCAAUGCCCUCCGGGGCUCUUUGGUGAUUCAUGAUAACUUCUCAGAUCGCAUGGCCUUGCGCCGGCGACGGUUCAUUCAAAUUUCUGCCCUAUCAACUUUCGAUGGUAAGGUAUUGGCUUACCAUGGUUUCAACGGGUAACGGGGAAUUAGGGUUCGAUUCCGGAGAAGGAGCCUGAGAAACGGCUACUACAUCCAAGGAAGGCAGCAGGCGCGCAAAUUACCCAAUCCCGACGCGGGGAGGUAGUGACAAUAAAUACUGAUACAGGGCUCUUUUGGGUCUUGUAAUUGGAAUGAGUACAAUUUAAACCUCUUAACGAGGAACAAUUGGAGGGCAAGUCUGGUGGCUUUACAUGCUGACGCCAGAGGUAGUCGGGCAGUCUUCCGUGGGGAGCUGUUAUCCCGGCUAGUCGAGUACCUGUCAAUGAUGGGAUGGUACCGGCAAGACAACCUGGGUCGGGGGAGGCUAAGGCGCCGACGGCGUUAUGUUGAUCCCGAGCAGAGCUACCCCGAAGCAAUUUGGGUGUGGCCUGUGUAGAGCGCGCAAAGGUGUCGGCCAGCUCAUGCAGCUGGCUUAAGGGACGUGCCAUUCCCGCCUGAAAGGGUGGAUACCCGCAGAAGUGCCCAUCACACGACUGCCGGUAAGUUCAAUGUUUGAACGCAAUUUUAUGAGGCCAGCAGCCGCGGUAAUUCCAGCUCCAAUAGCGUAUAUUAAAGUUGUUGCAGUUAAAAAGCUCGUAGUUGAACCUUGGGCCUGGCUGGCAGGUCCGCCUCACCGCGUGUACUUGACCGGCCGGGCCUUCUCUUCUGGAGAACCUCAUGCCCUUUACUGGGCGUGCUGGGGACCAGGACUUUUACUUUGAAAAAAUUAGAGUGUUCAAAGCAGGCCUUUGCUCGAAUAUGUUAGCAUGGAAUAAUAGAAUAGGACGCGCGAUCCUAUUUUGUUGGUUUCUAGGACCGCCGUAAUGAUUAAUAGGGACAGUCGGGGGCAUCAGUAUUCAAUUGUCAGAGGUGAAAUUCUUGGAUUUAUUGAAGACUAACUACUGCGAAAGCAUUUGCCAAGGAUGUUUUCAUUAAUCAGUGAACGAAAGUUAGGGGAUCGAAGACGAUCAGAUACCGUCGUAGUCUUAACCAUAAACUAUGCCGACUAGGGAUCGGGCGGUGUUUCAAUAUUGACUCGCUCGGCACCUUACGAGAAAUCAAAGUGU
rnacentral:rRNA from 1 species